CCCCGAAUGGGGCAGUAAGUGGGAACAAAAAAUAUAGAAAAAUAUAAUCUAUUUCGAAUCCGUCCUGAUUCGCCAAGUAAAUAGAGCUAGAGGCGGGAGCCCCUUUUCUUCCUUCAAUCCGUCCUAAUCCAUAAAAAAUCUGCCAAAAAUUUGCUCCUUCCUCGAUCCGCUCCGAAUGAGGAGAUAAGUGGUAGCCAAAAAUAAAAUAAAAAAUAAUACGUCCCAAAUCCGUCCCACCCGACAAAAAAUGGAACGGAAGAUAGGGGAGCCCUCCCGCUCCCGGAUCUGCCCGUUUGCAUCCCUAAUUAGUUAGUAGAUUAUCCAAUAAGCAACCCUCUUUGGUAACUCUACUUAGAAAGAAUUAUGGGCAUGUUUGGUUCGAAGUCGGAGUAGGAAUCGGAAUCGGAAUCAAAAUAAGCUGGAAUUGGAAUCGGAAUGACUCAUUACCUAAUUCCGUUUGAUUCAUCACCUAAAUCGGAAUCGGAAUAAAUCAUUCCAAUUGUUGGUGUUUGGUUCAAGUGGAUAUAAAAAACGUAAUCAAAUUAAUAUACUAACAUUAUCUUUAUAAUAUAUUAAUUUAAAUUCAAAUUUAAAAUUAAAUAUUAAAAAUUUAUAUCAAAAUUUUUAAAUAAUGCCAAAAUUUUAAAUCUAUUUUUUUAAAAUAAAUUAAUCUUUGAAGU
rnacentral:lncRNA from 1 species